rfam:Pestalotiopsis fici W106-1 unplaced genomic scaffold PFICI_Scf_12, whole genome shotgun sequence.
GCCCGCUUGGCUCAUCGGUAGAGCGCCUCACUAGUAAUGAGGAGGCAAUUGGUUCGACUCCAGUAGUGGGCA